rnacentral:rRNA from 1 species
GACGAACGCUGGCGGCGUGCCUAAUACAUGCAAGUUGAGCGCUGAAGGUUGGUACUUGUACCAACUGGAUGAGCAGCGAACGGGUGAGUAACGCGUGGGGAAUCUGCCUUUGAGCGGGGGACAACAUUUGGAAACGAAUGCUAAUACCGCAUAAAAACUUUAAACACAAGUUUUAAGUUUGAAAGAUGCAAUUGCAUCACUCAAAGAUGAUCCCGCGUUGUAUUAGCUAGUUGGUGAGGUAAAGGCUCACCAAGGCGAUGAUACAUAGCCGACCUGAGAGGGUGAUGGGCCACAUUGGGACUGAGACACGGCCCAAACUCCUACGGGAGGCAGCAGUAGGGAAUCUUCGGCAAUGGACGAAAGUCUGACCGAGCAACGCCGCGUGAGUGAAGAAGGUUUUCGGAUCGUAAAACUCUGUUGGUAGAGAAGAACGUUGGUGAGAGUGGAAAGCUCAUCAAGUGACGGUAACUACCCAGAAAGGGACGGCUAACUACGUG